rnacentral:rRNA from 1 species
AAUUCGCCCUUUAAUUAGGGGCCUGUACGAACGGACAAACGAGAGUAACUCUGUCUCUUUGGUAUAACUAAAAAUUAAUCUUCAGGUGAAAAAACCUGAAUUAACUCAGCGGACAAAAAGACCCUACAGAGCUUCGUUACCCCACCUCCAACUAAUUUUAUACCAAUACAUAAAACCAUGGAUGCUCGUAACUUAACUGGGGCGGUUAAGGAAAUUUAAAUCUUCCUCUUCACCCAAAGAUUCACCAAUCUAUACAAUUGACCUCUUUAGAAUCAUAGAAAAAGCUACCUUAGGGAUAACAGACUAAUCCUCCUCAAGAGUACACAUUGACAGGAGGGAUUGGCACCUCGAUGUUGGCUUAGGGUAACUAAGGGGUAGUAGAAGCCCCUUCAGUAGGUUUGUUCAACCUUUAAUUCCCUACGUGAU